CAUGGAAGGGGGAGGGCCCCUCAGCCCGGAUUGUGAGAGGGUGCAGGCCAGACUGAGGGAUCCCACCAGUGCACG
rfam:Myotis lucifugus cont2.41360, whole genome shotgun sequence.